GUCACUGUGGUCACUUCAUGGUGGCCCCAAAGUCACCUCUGCUGCUGUGCCACUGCUCCACGCUGGACAGGGGGAACCCACGGAUGAGCAUCCCACGAUCCAGGAGCUGCAGGAAUUUAAGGGUUAAAAAUCUUCACACUCAAAUCCUUCCACAAAACUCACACAAAGACCCCCCAAAACCCCCCCGGGGUCCCCCAGAGCCUCAGGGGGAACCACUCAGUCACAGGGCUCAGUCUGGGGCGGUAUCGCUUCAUCCUCGGCAAGGGAGACCCCAAAAAAUACCAAAAAUCCCCUUUCCAAUCCCUCUUGCCAAACCCCCAAAGGCCCCUCCACCAUCCCAAAAUCUCCUCAAAAGCCCCUCCAAAAUCCCCUCCCCAAACCCCCCAGAACCGUCUUUUAAAAUCCCAAAUCAUCUCCUCAUAAACCAAAAUUUUAAACCCCAAAAUCCCCGUCCCAAAGCCCCAGACUGACCUGAGCCCCCAUGGCUCGUGCCCUGAGAACAAGGAAAAAAAAACCAUUAAAAUACUAAUUUGAACCAAGCAGGCCCUUAUUAAGAGUGGAAACUUAAAUCCCACCAAACUUUAAAGCCCAUGAUGAGGAUCUGAAGUGGAUCUAUAAAUCUUUAAGUGGCUUCAGCUUUUGGAAAGGGUUAAAACUCCCCCACGUGGGUCUGAUCCCCUCCACGAGGGUUUUGAACCUCCCCACGAGGGAUCUGCCCCCUCUCUUUGGGCAGUGCCACUCAGAGUGUUCCAGAAGCUUCUCCACUGCCCCAUCAGCAAGAGAGAGUUCAGGGUGAUCAUCCUCGCAGCACUGCUGCCCUGAAACCCAGCUUAUUAAACCCACAAUCACUCACCUCAGGCCCAAGCGCCACUUCAUGGGUAACAAUCCUAGAACAGAAACAAAGAAAAGGCGUUAGAGAUAAAAAAAAAUAUUAUAAUUAUGGGGCAGCCAACCCCCAGCUUGGGGCAGGACGAGCCCUCAGAGAAUUUGAAAUUCUUCACCGCGCCAUCAGCACAGGUCUGUGGUAGGCUCAUCCCCGAGCAGGCCCUGGGGAAGGCGCGGAGCCCUCAUGGAACCCCUCAAGGACGGACACAGCGGCUGAACCGUGCGGGGAACAGCGCCGGGGGGUUCCAGGCUGCUCCCCAUCAGCCGGGGGAGAGGGAGUGGAUUAUGGGAGCCGCUGCAGCUCCCUGAUAGCCCCUCACACCCCCCUCAGCACACAGCGCGAUGAAAUCAGAACGCACCUCUCCCC
rnacentral:lncRNA from 1 species